UACGUAGGGCGCAAGCGUUAUCCGGAAUUAUUGGGCGUAAAGAGCUCGUAGGCGGUUUGUCGCGUCUGCCGUGAAAGUCCGGGGCUCAACUCCGGAUCUGCGGUGGGUACGGGCAGACUAGAGUGAUGUAGGGGGAGACUGGAAUUCCUGGUGUAGCGGUGAAAUGCGCAGAUAUCAGGAGGAACACCAAUGGCGAAGGCAGAUCUCUGGGCCGUAACUGACGCUGAGGAGCGAAAAGCAUGGGGAGCGAACAGG
rnacentral:rRNA from 1 species